GACUCAACGCGGGAAAUCUUACCGGGUCCGGACACACUGAGGAUUGACAGACAAAUAUAGAAAUUUUAUAUUUCUCAUAUAUAAAGAUGCUAGUUCUUUCAUGAUUAUGUGAUAGGUGGUGCAUGGCCGUUCUUAGUUCGUGGAGUGAUCUGUCUGCUUAAUUGCGUUUCAAUUUUUAUUAUGUAUACGUAUGACCCACGUUUACGCGUGCGAGUCUAGUAUGCUAUCAUUUGAAAGCAACGAACGUGACCGUAUCCUUUUAUUAUAUACGCACGCGUAUAUUUAUUCAUUAAAGGGACCGCUGUUUCUUUUUUUAAACCAGAGGAAGGUUACGGCAAUAACAG
rnacentral:rRNA from 1 species